rnacentral:ncRNA from 2 species
AUAUGUGUUGCAGGGAGCCGAAAACAAUGGCUGAGAGGGAAUUUGACAUUCCGACCUUUUGACCUGAUCUGGGUAAUGCCAGCGUAGGGAACUAGCGUACAUGACUGU